rnacentral:rRNA from 1 species
CCCUUAGACGUUCUGGGCCGCACGCGCGCUACACUGACAAAUGCAACGAGCUACUCUUCACCGAAAGGUGUGGGUAAUCUUUUGAAACUUUGUCGUGCUGGGGAUAGAUCCUUGCAAUUUUUGAUCUUAAACGAGGAAUUCCUAGUAAGCGCAAGUCAUCAACUUGCGUUGAUUACGUCCCUGCCCUUUGUACACACCGCCCGUCGCUACUACCGAUUGAAUGGUUUAGUGAGGCCUUCGGAUCCGCGACUCGUUUGUGGAGAAGUUGGACAAACUCAGUCAUUUAGAGGAAGUAAAAGUCGUAACA